GUGCCCACUUCAGCAGCACAUAUACUAAAAUUGGAACGAUACAGAGAUUAGCAUGGCCCCUGCUCAAGGAUGACAUGCAAAUUCGUGAAGCGUUCCAUAUUUAA